rnacentral:lncRNA from 1 species
GGUAACCGGUUUGGGUCCUUUUUCGCAAUGUGGAGUCUUCGUCCUUUUGCUCUUCCCAAAAAACCUUGCUGCCUCUUACUUUUUGGGUCUGUGCCAUCUUUAAGAGCUGUAACACUCACCGUGAAGGUCCGUGGCUUCAUUGAUGAAGUCAGUGAGAAUCAUGAAGUCAGCCAGAGUACUGCCCUGGAGGGAAUCGACUGCCAGUUUAAGGAGUCAUUGUCCAGUUCAGACUCCAGAAUACGAAACGUAGAAACUGACAGGAAAUGACCAAGUAUAAAUUGCAACUUGUAAAGAAUCAUCUUAAAUCCUGGCACUGCGUUCAAGGGGGAGUUUGAGCAAGGAAUGUUGCUAAAACGGCUAAAACCAGGAACUCAGAAUAUCGUUCUACAAUAGAACCUAAAAACUGUUUCCAACCCAUCACGACAUCACCCUGAAAAAUGAGUGAGCAGUCACUGAGGCUUCCCAAGUUUGAAAAUUCCACAAGACUGAGAGCAAAUGUUUUGUUGAAACUGAAGUCAAGAUGAAGUCAGCUGACUCUCAAACCUCAGGUGAAGUGACUCAGGGCCCACACCCCGGUUCUGAGGCAGGGACACAUUUUACUUGCAGCACCCUGCAGCUUUGGAUGAGGCUGCAACCCGGGUGAAUCCUGGCCCUGCUAUCACGUGGGCAGCCACUGCAUCCUCCGGAGGCUGUGGAUGGGAGUCACCAUGCUGGGAGGUCUGGAGUAAGAUCUGUGCCAUCUGCCUUGCCCAAUCCUGUACCAGUGCCUGUGUUUCAAAAUCUCAAAAUAAAAGUGAUUAUUCUUGCAACACAUCUAGGUGUACUAAACGAAUACAAAAAAGCCUUCGAUUAUUGCUGCACACAUCAUUACAAGAUGAAAUAGGAGGGAAAAAUAAGCUUUAAAAAUACAUUUAAGGCACUGAAUAUUUGUUCUGAAUUGAAUAGAAUAUUUUAUUAUAAAACGGGCCUCUGUGCAUUUUCUAAAGCCACAGUCUUACUCAUCUAUGGGAGAAGUAAGAACACUGGGCAUGAAUGCAACUGUCUUUAUAAAAUUUAUUUUCAAAUUCCUUCAACAACGGGAGGAUAGGAAAAACCUGGAAGCAGACAGCAGGUAGACUGUUUCUGUGUUGUAACAGUGGUCUUCAUGAUCAUUUUACCAGGGGCAGAUGUGUAUCUGUCCUCUCCGUUUCACUAGUGCAGGCUGGCUUUACUUUGGUCCAUCAACAUACUUUUGUCAUUCUACUACAUGCAGGACACUGAGGAAAACAGGAAUUGCACAGGGCCUCAUUCAGAGAGUAGAAGAGACGGACAAGCAAAUGUUGAAACUCAAAAUUCGAAGAGCAAUAUGAGGAGUAUCAAUUGCUAGGAGAAACAUCUGCUCCAACACACAUACACGUGCCUUUCUGCAGUCUCCACGGGGAGGAACUUCCAUUAGACUAACACUCCCUCCUUUCUCCACCCCUCUUCCUCCCCUGGAGAGAAGGAGUCACACUUGUCCCACAGGAGCAAGCACCUGGCCUGUUCCUGCCCUCUCCUGCCUGGACUCACCUCUUGCACAGAGCUCAAGCCCUGCCUGGUCCCCAAGCUGGAACAAGGCUCUGCUCUGGUUUUGGCUACACUGGGAAGGAGCGGGGUAUGUGUAAUUUGGGGUAAAAUAUUAACAAACCUACUUAUCCACAGAGCUAUAUUACAUCUUCUACUCUGACAUUUUUUGUUUUUUCUUUUUUGUUUUUUUUCUCUCUCAAUUGAUCCAAACACAGGCGAGGAAGAGAAGUAUAUUUAUUGACUCCCUAAAUUUUCAAUACCUGGUGCACAGACUGGGAACCUUAAGAAAUAGACGGGACUGGCACUUGGAGAAUGAAAUAACAUGUAGAGGAAGGAGACAGCAACCACGAAGGCAGGCAGCUCUCUGGCUUAAGCCAUGGUGACUAUCGAUCACGUGGGAUUCUGACUUUUGCAGGUCUCUGUAGCUCCUGGUAUUUCAUAACAGGCUGGAAUUCAGCAAAUGCUGGCCAUUUGGGGUAUUAACAAGCAGGAGGACAAAUCGGAGUCUUAGAAAGCAGGCUGGCUGCUCGGGAGUGUUGGCACAGGCCUUAGCAAGACAGGUCAGCUGAAGUAAGGGUGUGGUUCACUGCCUGUGCUGUUUCUCAACCACGCUGAAAGGGUGGGAGACUGGGACACAGGGACUUUACACUGCACACAUUUGAGCCCUUGUGUGCCACAGAGCUCUAGGUGAUGUUUGCCUUUAACUUAUUUUCGACAAAUGUGCUUCCCAAAUCCCAUUACCUGAAUUCAAGACCAAACAAGGACUCUGAGAGGGACUGGGCCCUUAUUACUGUGCUGCUCAACCAAUGAAUAUUAAAAGUCACGUCCAUGAACCAUGAGAUCUCAAUUGCACAGCUUUGAUGAGUUCUAUUAUAUUCUGACUUUACGCUUCAGACAUGUGAACUGUGAUUUCACAAGAUUAGUAUAUUUUAUUAAUAACGACAGACAAAAAGAAUUGCCUUGUUCACUGGUAUAUUCCAAGUGUGUAGAAAAGUGUCUUAUCUUCAGUAGGUACUCUCAUUUAACAAAUGCCUGAUCAGGGCAUUUAUUUUUUUAAAAAAAAGGCCACAAUCUUCAGUUAAAGUAAAGAAACAACUCAGUAAAAUGACUGCAAGUCCAAAAGCUAAGAAUGCAUUUUUUUGUUGUUGUUGUUUUGAUCUUUUUUGGAGAUGGAGUUUAGCACUUGUUGCCCAGGGUGGAGUACAAUGGCAGGAUCUCGGCUCACCACAACCUCUGCCUCCCGGAUUCAAGUGAUUCUUCUGCCUCAGCCUCCCGAGUACCUGGGAUUACAGGCAUGCACCACCACGCCCAGCUAUUUUUUUUUUUUAAGUAGAGACAGGGUUUCACCAUGUUGGUCAGGCUGGUCUUGAACUCCUGACCUCAGGUGAUCCACCCGCCUUGGCCUCCCAAAGUGCUGGGAUUACAGGCGUGAGCCACCGCACCUGGCCAAGAAUGCAUUUUUAAAGGUCUGUGCCUAGAAUACUCUGUAUCUAGGAAUUCAAUUUGCUUGGACAAUCAAAGAGAAACUAGUUUGGCUUGAAAAGCAGGCUUCAAUCUUAUUAUCAGAUUGGGAGUGUUUCUUUUUGUAAUGAAAUCAAAAUAAAGGAAGACAAGAGAGGUACCUUUAAAAGAGAUGAGAGAUUUCAGAAGCUGAUUAGAGACUAAAGAAAUAUGAAGUGGAAAUGACAUCUUAAUGGCAGCUCACAAACGGAAAAAAAGACAUACUUGGGGUUCAUUGUUUGAAAAGAGGUUAUUGGAAGAGAGGGCAGGAUUUUAGUUGUUACAGUUCAAAAGGAUAAAUGGGGCCCAAAAACAUUCAAUGAACAAGAUGAGACAGGCUCUCAGUAAGCAUCCUGGAUGGUUUCCCCAGUAGAGCCAGGGUCCCAGAAACUCCUGGGAAUGCCAUCUUAAAACCAUAGAUGAGCUAGGAGUCUGCAGGGGGCUCCACCCCCUGAAAACAGUGUAAAAGGGCUUCACACUUCAUGUUCCAGAAGGAUCCAGAUAACCUGUAACCUGAAAAUUAUUUCGCUAUAAGUACCUACAGAUGGUAAGUUUAAAAGUAACUAAAAAAGCCGUUAUAUGACAGGUGAGCUUGCAAGAAAGAAAGAGAAAAUUCAAAAAACAAACAUAAGAGACAAAUGAAAUUGCAUGUGCCGAUUCAUGUGUGCCCUGAGAGGUUGCCAGAAGGGGAUGUCAGGUUGGUGGCCCCUCGGCUGGGGUUUCCAUACUCACACAUAGCAAUAGGCAAUAAGGCCAUGGUCCUAUUCUCGGUGGGGAGUCCAAACCAAAAUGGCUCCAGAGAGCCAGAUCCCUCAAAGGACAGCAGCUUCAGGAUUCUCUCACUGAGACUGGGGUUCUCGCCUGCCUAGGCCGGG